UAGGGAAUCUUCCACAAUGGGCGAAGCCUGAUGGAGCAACGCCGCGUGUGUGAAGAAGGGUUUCGGCUCGUAAAGCUCUGUUGUUAAAGAAGAACGUGGGUAAGAGUAACUGUUUACCCAGUGACGGUAUUUAACCAGAAAGCCACGGCUAACUACGUGCCAG
rnacentral:rRNA from 1 species